AUUGAACGCUGGCGGCGUGCCUAACACAUGCAAGUCGAGCGGUAACAGGUGUAGCAAUACAUGCUGACGAGCGGCGGACGGGUGAGUAACGCUUGGGAAUCUGCCUAUUAGUGGGGGACAACCCGGGGAAACUCGGGCUAAUACCGCAUACGCUCUACGGAGGAAAGCCGGGGACCGCAAGGCCUGGCGCUAAUAGAUGAGCCCAAGUCGGAUUAGCUAGUUGGUAGGUAANGGCCUACCAAGGCGACGAUCCGUAACUGGUCUGAGAGGACGACCAGUCACACCGGAACUGAGACACGGUCCGGACUCCUACGGGAGCAGCAGUGGGAUAUUGACAAUGGGCAAAGCCUGAUCCAGCGACGCCGCGUGGGUGAAGAAGGCCUGCGGGUUGUAAA
rnacentral:rRNA from 1 species